GCAUAACGCGAAGAACCUUACCAGGUCUUGACAUCCCCCUGACCGGUACAGAGAUGUACCUUUCCUUCGGGACAGGGGAGACAGGUGGUGCAUGGUUGUCGUCAGCUCGUGUCGUGAGAUGUUGGGUUAAGUCCCGCAACGAGCGCAACCCUUGACUUUAGUUGCCAGCAAGUAAGGUUGGGCACUCUAGAGUGACUGCCGGUGACAAACCGGAGGAAGGUGGGGAUGACGUCAAAUCAUCAUGCCCCUUAUGACCUGGGCUACACACGUACUACAAUGGCCGGUACAACGGGAAGCGAAGGAGCGAUCUGGAGCGAAUCCUUUAAAGCCGGUCUCAGUUCGGAUUGCAGGCUGCAACUCGCCUGCAUGAAGUCGGAAUUGCUAGUAAUCGCGGAUCAGCAUGCCGCGGUGAAUACGUUCCCGGGUCUUGUACACACCG
rnacentral:rRNA from 1 species